ensembl:miRNA
UGAUAUGUUUGAUAUUCGGUUGUUCUUGUGCUUUAUAAUGUCAACUAAAUAUCAGACAUAUUCCU